rnacentral:rRNA from 1 species
UAAGCGGAGGAAAAGAAACUAACAAGGAUUCCCCUAGUAACUGCGAGUGAAGCGGGAAANGCUCAAAUUUGGANUCUGGUGNUCUUUGGCCAUCCGAGUUGUAAUUUAGAGAAGCGUCUUCCGCGCUGGACCGUGCACAAGUCUCCUGGAAUGGAGCGUCAUAGAGGGUGAGAAUCCCGUCUUUGGCAUGGAAUCCCAGGGCUUCUGUGAUGCGCUCUCGACGAGUCGAGUUGUUUGGGAAUGCAGCUCAAAAUGGGUGGUGAACUCCAUCUAAAGCUAAAUAUUGGCGAGAGACCGAUAGCGAACAAGUACCGUGAGGGAAAGAUGAAAAGCACUUUGAAAAGAGAGUGAAAGAGUACUUGAAAGGGCACAGAGGGAAGCG